AUGUAUGGCCAGAUUCCUGCUGACAGCUCAGGCACGGCGGUGCCCAUUCUUGCCUCUUUCUUUAUGGGAUUAGCUACACUUGUCGUGCCGCCUCUUGAUGAGAUGAACACUCCUAUAUCUUCAUUCAAAGGAAAAGGGCAGGCUAUUAUGCCUAAAAUUCCCUUCAAAUCACCAUGCCCAAAAAGUGCUCACCGCAAACUUUUUACUGAGCCCUCAAAGCCUGAGGACACUGAACUCUCUGCCUCAGCUGCCAAGGUGGCUAGCCAGGCUGAACAAGGUGCUCCUGCUGGAAAUGUUGUUGAAGCUACAUUUGUGCCAAAUGUCGGUCAAGAAACUGAGCUUAUAGCUACUGAAGAUCCAAAGAACAACCUUCCUGACCACACUAAAGUCAAGAGGUAA
rnacentral:rRNA from 1 species